ACAUGCAAGUCGAGCGGUAACAGACAUUUUGAUUUUGCUUGCAAAUCUCGUGCUGACGAGCGGCGAACGGGUGAGUAACGCGUAGGAAUCUACCUAGUAGAAGGGGAUAGCCCGAGGAAACUCGGAUUAAUACCGUAUACGUCCUUAGGGAGAAAGAGGGCUUAGCUUUGAUGCUCUCGCUAUUAGAUGAGCCUGCGUAAGAUUAGCUUGUUGGUGAGGUAAAGGCUCACCAAGGCGACGAUCUUUAGCUGGUCUGAGAGGACGAUCAGCCACAUUGGGACUGAGACACGGCCCAGACUCCUACGGGAGGCAGCAGUGGGGAAUAUUGGACAAUGGGCGCAAGCCUGAUCCAGCCAUACCGCGUGUGUGAAGAAGGCCUUCGGGUUGUAAAGCACUUUAAGUAAGGAAGAAAAGAGUAUUGUUAAUACCAGUACUCCGUGACAUUACUUACAGAAUA
rnacentral:rRNA from 1 species